AUUAUAUAUAAAUAUUUGUAUAUAAAUAAAUAUUGCCCUUGUAUUUGGUAAAGUUUUUUCAUUGAUGAUUUCCUGUUAGAUGAGAUUUGCAGAAUUGCUUGCACAUGCUAGAAAUUGAUAAAGACUUCACGUCACCUGUUGAAAAUUUUCAACAUGUUUACACAUGAAUGACUGCUUAUCCUAUGCUGGUGGAGCUUUAAUUGUGUCCUGAAAGUCUAUCCAUGGGCUUGUGGCUAACUAGUUCUUUGAAGAAGAAUUUCUCUCACCUUAGUCCUGAACACCCUUAAUGAACAUUUAAGAUCCAGGCACUUAG
rnacentral:misc_RNA from 1 species